rnacentral:rRNA from 1 species
UACGUAGGCAGCAAGCGUUGUUCGGAGUUACUGGGCGUAAAGGGUGUGUAGGCGGUUGUUUAAGUUUGGUGUGAAAUCUCCCGGCUCAACUGGGAGGGUGCGCCGAAUACUGAAUGACUAGAGUGCGGGAGAGGAAAGUGGAAUUCCUGGUGUAGCGGUGAAAUGCGUAGAUAUCAGGAGGAACACCGGUGGUGUAGACGGCUUUCUGGACCGUAACUGACGCUGAGACACGAAAGCAUGGGGAGCAAACAGG